CAUCGUCGGCAACAUGGAGGCGAGUCACCAGCGAGUUGCGUCACCAGUGACGAACGUGGAGGCGAGUCACCGGCGAGUUGCGGCACCGGUAGCGAACAUGGAGGCGAGUCACCGGCGAGGUGCGGCACCGGUGGCAAACAUGCCGCGGCGAGUGUGCCAUGGCGGCGCGCUCGUGGUGAAGGCGUAGAAGGUGUGGUUCUCAUCGAGGCCAGCGUGACAGCGACAAUCGGCGUGACAAGAUGGCAUUGGCGGCCAUCUACGUGUUGCACCGACGACAUCGUUGUCGACGGCAAGUGGUUGCAGGUGAUCCACCUCGAAGAUUGGAGAAUCAAGAUUAGGAUGGAAAUUGUUAGUUCUAAUCUUGAUUUAGUUUUUUGCAUGUAG
rnacentral:rRNA from 1 species